CCCAGGGAUGGAACCUGUGUCUCCUGCCUUGCUGGAGGAUUCUUUACCAUCUAGUUGCAAGGGUCCUUCAGGAAGGUUUUCUCUGAGACCAAGCAGAGGUGGCAACCCCGGAGUCAGCUGAAGGAGGCCCCGGGCUUGGCCGUGUCUGGCCACCCAGCGCAUGAAGACUCUUUAAAAGAAGCAGUGUGAAAUGGGGUGGAAGGAGGAAUCCAGGAGCAACUGGGUGCAACCCUGCCAUCGUCCUAUUCACUGGCAUCCCAUUCACUGAACUCAACUCUCCCAACACUGACCUUUGACCGUGUGUGGCCAACCAGUUCACUUACAUGGAGAACGUUGAAGUAUCUCAUCACCAAAAAUAUAGUGGCGAUCAGAAUUAAACUACCUUUUGAAGCCUCCAGGCCAAGAGGUGGCAGAACUCAGAUUGGAACCUAGAAAAGCAGGACCCCAAAUCUGUGCUCUUAAGCACAAGGAGGAGGAGGUUUCACACCAGAUGAAGGUGCCUACCCCAUGUCCUUGGCAGGCUCCCAGAAUGAUGGGACAAAGUGAUACUGGCUGCUCUGGAGGCUCUGAAACUUCAGUGGUCAACAGAGGAUCCUCUUGUGUCAAAAAGCACAAACAUGGAUUCUUCUUUGCUACUGACCUGUUCUAUAGACAUUCCAGUGCUUUCAGGGAAGUCACAGUGACGUCACUUCAUUUUCCCACCAGUGAUGUGUGCAAACAUGUGUAAUUUUAGUGAAGAUAAUCCCAUCGCCAGCUCCACUGUGGUUACAUAAACCAAACUGGUCAAAACAAGUGCAUGCUCUUGUUGGCUUUGUUGCUAUAUAACCUUGUUUUCUUUGGAAUCCUAACUCUAUAAUUACAGUCCCUAAAAUCUUCCUGCAGGACAGGAGCCUUGGGUUCAAUCCUUGGAUCAGGAAGAUCCCCUGGAGAAGGAAAUGGCAACCAACUCCAGUAUUCUUGGCUGGAGA